UUCCUUGAGGAGUGGCUUCCGGAGCUAACGCGUUAAGUCGACCGCCUGGGGAGUACGGCCGCAAGGUUAAAACUCAAAUGAAUUGACGGGGGCCCGCACAAGCGGUGGAGCAUGUGGUUUAAUUCGAUGCAACGCGAAGAACCUUACCUACUCUUGACAUCCAGAGAACUUAGCAGAGAUGCUUUGGUGCCUUCGGGAACUCUGAGACAGGUGCUGCAUGGCUGUCGUCAGCUCGUGUUGUGAAAUGUUGGGUUAAGUCCCNCUUCCAGCGCNACCCUUAUCCNUUGUUGC
rnacentral:rRNA from 1 species